CUUAGAAGCAGCCAUCAUUUAAAGAAAGCGUAAUAGCUCACUGGUCGAGUCGGCCUGCGCGGAAGAUGUAACGGGGCUAAACCAUGCACCGAAGCUGCGGCAGCGACGCUUAUGCGUUGUUGGGUAGGGGAGCGUUCUGUAAGCCUGCGAAGGUGUGCUGUGAGGCAUGCUGGAGGUAUCAGAAGUGCGAAUGCUGACAUAAGUAACGAUAAAGCGGGUGAAAAGCCCGCUCGCCGGAAGACCAAGGGUUCCUGUCCAACGUUAAUCGGGGCAGGGUGAGUCGACCCCUAAGGCGAGGCCGAAAGGCGUAGUCGAUGGGAAACAGGUUAAUAUUCCUGUACUUGGUGUUACUGCGAAGGGGGGACGGAGAAGGCUAUGUUGGCCGGGCGACGGUUGUCCCGGUUUAAGCGUGUAGGCUGGUUUUCCAGGCAAAUCCGGAAAAUCAAGGCUGAGGCGUGAUGACGAGGCACUACGGUGCUGAAGCAACAAAUGCCCUGCUUCCAGGAAAAGCCUCUAAGCAUCAGGUAACAUCAAAUCGUACCCCAAACCGACACAGGUGGUCAGGUAGAGAAUACCAAGGCGCUUGAGAGAACUCGGGUGAAGGAACUAGGCAAAAUGGUGCCGUAACUUCGGGAGAAGGCACGCUGAUAUGUAGGUGAAGCGACUUGCUCGUGGAGCUGAAAUCAGUC
rnacentral:rRNA from 1 species